rnacentral:rRNA from 1 species
AUGGGUGAAUUAGCUCCCGGCACAUUACCUGGCAAUGGAGAGAUUGCAUAUGUUGGCGCCGAACGUGUUGAUAAAGUCAACAGCACUGCAAACUCUGGGAGUGUCAAUGCUCUCCAUGGCCUAUCAGCUCCAGAUAAGCAAAGGGGGGUCAGUAAACUGACAAAUAGCAGGGAGAAGCCACCAUACGAGGGUCUGAGUAAGCGAGCCAGAUUCUGCAGCAUAUGUCGGCGUGCGGGGCACAAACGGACCACUUGCGCCGAAAGAGGAGAUGCACCGAAAAAGCCACGGAAGCCCGGGAGAUGUAAGAAGUGUGGUAUGGAAGGCCACCGCCGUACCACGUGCACAAGGUCUAAAAUGAUGUUCCAAGAGUAUGGGCGUUGUUGA